GCAACUAAUUCCUCCUUUUAUUUUCAUACCCAUGAGAAUCCCUCAGUCUAAAAUACAUAAGAAUAAGAAGAAAAAAAGUCUCACUCUGUUCCAAACAACAAAAUCAUGUGUAUCUAUUAAUACCCAAAUCAUCCCUACAUAAAAUGCCCACUCCAUUCAGCGUCUUCAGCAGUCGAUGGAAACUCAAUUUCCUGCUAGGAGUAAGAUCUGUUGUUUUCUUAAUUUUUGAAUUAUUCUAUUUAAGCAUUUAGAGGAAAGAAAAGGUUGAACAGAUACUUUACGUUUUUACUUGUUCAGAUUAUACUAAUUUAAAAAACCUUUGUUAAAUGAAGUAAUUUCGGUUCGUUCUUUUCAUUUAAUAAGCUGGGUGUUCAGCCAUGGUGUUAUUCUUGUCAUUUAAUCUUGAUUUUCUAUACAUGUUUUUGGAUACGGAUAGUUUGCUACUUCUCGCUGGUGGGAUGUUUUAUUUAGGAAGGAGAAUUCAAGGUUUCGCGCCAUUUCUGUGCGGUAAUUUGUCAAAUAAUAGUCCAAAUAUAGAAGAGAUAGAGGAGAAAAAAGACAGAUUUCUACUUUGAGAGUUUAAUUAAGUGAGGACACGUGGAGAUCUGUUAGGGCUAAGGUCAAUUUUACCUACUUUGUUAACUUUAGGAGUAGAUUUGGACAAAAGAUAUAACAUAGGACAAAUGUAAACUAUAUACCAUAAUAUAAGGGUAAAUUCGGACUUUCUCCCUAUAAAAAUUAGGGGUUGUAAUGCCACGUGUCCUACCGUUAAACCCAGAUGUAUAUUUGUAUAACAGUGAAGACAACUAUAGAUGGAUAAUUCGUUAAAGGGGUAAUUUUAAAUUAUUUUUAAUAGUAUAGGAAUAUAUUUGGUCCUUUUCCGUAAAAUAUAACAUCGAAAUUUAUUCAGUCAACACAAUAAAUUUCAAUCAAUGAAAAAUUAUGAUCCAACACAUCCAAAGUUUGCUUAGGUCCAGAAUUGAAGUAAAUACUCAGAACAACUUCUCCACUUGUUUGCGUUUUCUAUAAUCUCUAAAAUAUAUGGUAAAGUUGUUAAAAAAAGAUUUGUUUAACAACAAAGUAAAACUAUAUCCUAGACUAACAUUGUCUGCCGUUUUCUUUUUCUAUUUCUUGACAAGUUACCACAAUGUUUUAAAAAGCUUUUUGGGGGCUCGCCCUUGGGCGGGGCACUUUCAAAACGCCUUGAGACUCACGCGUGGGGUUUAGUUCCGUGAAGCUUACACUUCAAACAUCCCAUUGUGCGCUCAUAACAUGCCUAACAUGGGACUCGCCCAACAGUUCUUACUCAAAUUAUAUGUCAAAAUUCCUAAUUAGCAUUGUAAAAGGGCAGCCCGAUGCACUAAACUCUCGCUAUAUGCAGGGUCCGGGGAAGAGGCAGACCACAAGGGUCUAUCGUACGCAAUCUUACCCAACAUUUCUGCAAGAGGCUGUUUCCACGGCUCGAACCCGU
rnacentral:lncRNA from 1 species